rnacentral:lncRNA from 1 species
UGAAAAGAUGUUUAUUUAAAGGGUGCUGCCGUCUACUUGAUGACUUUUUUGAGUAUAAAUAUAAAUUUGGAGUUCUUCCUGGAACUGGAAUACCAGCUUUAGUCAGUUUAAUAAAAUAUUUUUGCACUCUACUGGCGACCUGCUUAGCUGUUCUAUUUCCUAGUUCAUCAGCUAUCUUCUGCCACCUUCGGGACUCUACUUCCUCUGGUGGAUACUUCAGAAGCAACUGCUCGAGUUUUUUCUGUUCCUCUACAGUCCACAGUUGGUUAAAAGUUUCAGGUUUGGUCUCAUCGCAGAGUCGCCCUCUUAUCAUCUGUGGACGACUGCUUGUAGAACCUUCUGGACCAUCACUUAAAGGCAAGACAGAGUAUGAAAUUGAC